rnacentral:rRNA from 1 species
CGGGUGAGUAACACGUGAGUAACCUGCCCCAGGCUUUGGGAUAACCCCGGGAAACCGGGGCUAAUACCGGAUAUGACUGGCUGCCGCAUGGUGGUUGGUGGAAAGAUUUUUUGGCUUGGGAUGGGCUCGCGGCCUAUCAGCUUGUUGGUGGGGUGAUGGCCUACCAAGGCGGCGACGGGUAGCCGGCCUGAGAGGGCGACCGGCCACACUGGGACUGAGACACGAUCCAGACUCAUACGGGAGGCAGCAGUGGGGAAUCUUGCACAAUGGGCGGAAGCCUGAUGCAGCGACGCCGCGUGAGGGAUGACGGCCUUCGGGUUGUAAACCUCUUUCAGCAGGGACGAAGCGUUUGUGACGGUACCUGCAGAAGAAGCGCCGGCCAACUACGUGCCAGCAGCCGCGGUAAGACGUAGGGCGCAAGCGUUGUCCGGAUUUAUUGGGCGUAAAGAGCUCGUAGGCGGCUUGUCGCGUCGACUGUGAAAACCCGUGGCUCAACUGCGGGCUUGCAGUCGAUACGGGCAGGCUAGAGUUCGGUAGGGGAGACUGGAAUUCCUGGUGUAGCGGUGAAAUGCGCAGAUAUCAGGAGGAACACCGGUGGCGAAGGCGGGUCUCUGGGCCGAUACUGACGCUGAGGAGCGAAAGCGUGGGGAGCGAACAGGAUUAGAUACCCUGGUAGUCCACGCUGUAAACGUUGGGCGCUAGGUGUGGGGAGCCUCUCCGGUUCUCUGUGCCGCAGCUAACGCAUUAAGCGCCCGCCUGGGGAGUACGGCCGCAAGGCUAAAAACUCAAAGGAAUUGACGGGGGCCCGCA